rnacentral:rRNA from 1 species
UACGUAGGGGGCAAGCGUUGUCCGGAUUUAUUGGGCGUAAAGAGCGUGUAGGCGGCCAGAUAGGUCAGCUGUGAAAACUCGAGGCUCAACCUCGAGAUGUCGGCUGAAACCAUCUGGCUAGAGUCCGGAAGAGGAGAAUGGAAUUCCCGGUGUAGCGGUGAAAUGCGCAGAUAUCGGGAAGAACACCUGAGGCGAAGGCGGGUUGCUGGGCCGACACUGACGCUGAGGCGCGAAAGCCAGGGGAGCAAACGGG